UUAUUUAGCAGGGUCAGUACAAAGUUGUAGCAGUAAUUGAACAUCGGCCAACAUAGCCAUGAACAUGCGGUGGGAAGAGGCUGACCAUAGGAAGCAGCUUUUUGGAAAAAAUAAAAUAGGGAAAUCAAUUAAACUACGUUGGAUCACCUUCAUGUAGUCACUGGAAAAGCAGAAGUUAUCAUCGAGGGUAG